GGCGGGGUAGCUCAGUGGUAGAGCAGCGGACUCAUAAGCCGUUGGUCGCGGGUUCAACCCCCGCCCCCGCUA
rnacentral:tRNA from 1 species